rnacentral:piRNA from 1 species
UAAUUAUCUAAAUAAUCUCUCAUAUGGUU